rnacentral:rRNA from 1 species
UGGGGAAUUUUGGACAAUGGGCGAAAGCCUGAUCCAGCAAUGCCGCGUGUGUGAAGAAGGCCUUCGGGUUGUAAAGCACUUUUGUCCGGAAAGAAAUCCUUGGCUCUAAUACAGUCGGGGGAUGACGGUACCGGAAGAAUAAGCACCGGCUAACUACGUGCCAGCAGCCGCGGUAAUACGUAGGGUGCAAGCGUUAAUCGGAAUUACUGGGCGUAAAGCGUGCGCAGGCGGUUUGCUAAGACCGAUGUGAAAUCCCCGGGCUCAACCUAGGAACUGCAUUGGUGACUGGCAGGCUAGAGUAUGGCAGAGGGGGGUAGAAUUCCACGUGUAGCAGUGAAAUGCGUAGAGAUGUGGAGGAAUACCGAUGGCGAAGGCAGCCCCCUGGGCCAAAUACUGACGCUCAUGCACGAAAGCGUGGGGAGCAAACAGGAUUAGAUACCCUGGUAGUCCACGCCCUAAACGAUGUCAACUAGUUGUUGGGGAUUCAUUUCCUUAGUAACGUAGCUAACGCGUGAAGUUGACCGCCUGGGGAGUACGGUCGCAAGAUUAAAACUCAAAGGAAUU